rnacentral:rRNA from 1 species
UUUAGAGGAAGUAAAAGUCGUAACAAGGUUUCCGUAGGUGAACCUGCGGAAGGAUCAUUAUUGAAUUUUUUGAAUGGGUUUGUUGCUGGUCAUCCCUCACAAAAGGGAGACAUGUGCACGCCUUGUUCCAAAUGGUUUUCAACACACACUUUAUUAUAUUUUGGAAUGUCUUGUCAAAAAAAAAAAUUAAUACAACUUUCAACAACGGAUCUCUAGGUUCUCGCAUCGAUGAAGAACGCAGCGAAAUGCGAUAAGUAAUGUGAAUUGCAGAAUUCAGUGAAUCAUCGAAUCUUUGAACGCACCUUGCGCUCCUUGGUAUUCCGAGGAGCAUGCCUGUUUGAGUGUCAUUAAAUUCUCAACCCCUUACCCUUCAUUAAUAGAGGGGGGGAAGGGUUUGGAUUUUGGAGUGUUUGCUGGCUUUCACAAGUUGGCUUCUCUUAAAUGUAUGAGCAAAAAUUGUAACCUUUGUGGAUAAGCUUUCGGUUUGAUAAUUAUCUAUGCCAUCGCUGUGAAACAAAUAUUUUGCUUCUAACAGUCCUAUGGACAAGCCCUUUUAUAUUUGACCUCAAAUCAGGUAGGACUACCCGCUGAACUUAAGCAUAUC